AUGAGUGGCCAGAAAAGGCAGAGACACCAAAAAAGAGGAGCAGAGGUGCCCAGAACAUGCUGUCCCACAUUGCCAGCCCCAGGCAGGGCCAGCUCACAGUGUGGUGAGCAGAACCAUUCUGAUGCUCCAAGAUCUACGAGGUGGAUGUGGCGGGAGCUCCUGACCCGACUGCUUUGGGAGCUGGCCAGGGUCCUGACUUGCAGCACGUUGGUGACCAGAAGACAACCAAAGGACCUAGAAAGGCACCCGCCCCACCCAAGCCCCAUGGACAGAUGCCCCAGGCUGCACAUUCUGUCAGUGCUGUUCUCCAAGAGUCCCAGACACGUGCUGAAACAUGGAAGGAUAAGAAGCCAGCCCUUGAGAACCACCAGGAGCCGGGAGCGCCUCAGACCCCACAGGCCACCAAGUUCAGCUGUCCCCUUUCCCUUCUGGUGUCGGACACCAGCAGCAGUCCCACCGAGUCCCCCAAGGCGGCUUCCCCGCGCCACCUGAUGACUUCCUGCUGCUGCAGCCACCACCACUGCCCCUGGACGAUCAGGAGCUCCCCACUCCACUAGGUCAUCCCCUCCCCGUGGUAGCCAAGAGGCCUCCUAUGCCCCCCAAGAGGCAGGAAGCAUCCAUGUUCAGAAGCAGCAGAUGAAUAAAAUAAACGAAUAAAAGUUAAAUGUUCUUCCUGAUGAUGGUAUUUCUAGAAAGAUUAUUGGGUCACUCUUUCUUGGGAUCAACACUGUAAUUAAAAAUAGCUUUCACCAUCCCAUGCCUUCCGAAGUCUUAGUGACCUUAGAUAAAUUUUCCAUCUCUACCUCUGCAACCUUCAGGAUUCUCAGAAAAAUCUAGAGAGGAAAACCAGAAAACAUGACAAGCAGAGAUGGUUCCCAUUCUCUGAGAUCCCGUUGCUUGAUUGAUUGGAGUCCUGGACACAGGCUGUUUUGGUGUGGCUUUUUUAAUGCUUGGAUAACAGUAAAAAUUAAGUUAUUUAGUUAGGUUUUGAAUUCUGUGUUAUCACAGUGCUGUAAGUAUCCUGUAAAUAAGAAUGUAGGGGCAGGCAAAGAGAGUCUUAUAUAUGUAUGUUUCCAUCUGGAAUGUUUUCCCUCAGAGAUACAUUUAAUGCCCAAUUUAUCCUUGGCUCUUGGGCCCUAUAUCUCUUCUCUUUCAGAUUGGUUUCUGAUAGG
rnacentral:lncRNA from 1 species